rnacentral:rRNA from 1 species
AGUGAACGCUGGCGGUAGGCCUAACACAUGCAAGUCGAACGGCAGCACAGGAGAGCUUGCUCUCUGGGUGGCGAGUGGCGGACGGGUGAGGAAUACAUCGGAAUCUACUCUGUCGUGGGGGAUAACGUAGGGAAACUUACGCUAAUACCGCAUACGACCUACGGGUGAAAGCAGGGGAUCUUCGGACCUUGCGCGAUUGAAUGAGCCGAUGUCGGAUUAGCUAGUUGGCGGGGUAAAGGCCCACCAAGGCGACGAUCCGUAGCUGGUCUGAGAGGAUGAUCAGCCACACUGGAACUGAGACACGGCCCAGACUCCUACGGGAGGCAGCAGUGGGGAAUAUUGGACAAUGGGCGCAAGCCUGAUCCAGCCAUACCGCGUGGGUGAAGAAGGCCUUCGGGUUGUAAAGCCCUUUUGUUGGGAUAGAAAUCCAGCUGGUUAAUACCCGGUUGGGAUGACGGUACCCAAAGAAUAAGCACCGGCUAACUUCGUGCCAGCCGCCGCAGUAA